rnacentral:rRNA from 1 species
UGAGGAAUAUUGGUCAAUGGACGCAAGUCUGAACCAGCCAAGUAGCGUGCAGGAUGACGGCCCUAUGGGUUGUAAACUGCUUUUAUAUGGGGAUAAAGUGGGGAACGUGUUCCCUUUUGCAGGUACCAUAGGAAUAAGGACCGGCUAAUUCCGGGCCAGCAGCCGCGUUAAUACGGAAGGUCCAGGCGUUAUCCGGAUUUAUUGGGUUUAAAGGGAGCGUAGGCUGGAGAUUAAGGGUGUUGUGAAAUGUAGACGCUCAACGUCUGAAUUGCAGCGCAUACUGGUUUCCUUGAGUACGCACAACGUUGGCGGAAUUCGUCGUGUAGCGGUGAAAUGCUUAGAUAUGACGAAGAACUCCGAUUGCGAAGGCAGCUGACGGGAGCGCAACUGACGCUUAAGCUCGAAGGUGCGGGUAUCAAACAGG